rnacentral:rRNA from 1 species
GGUUGAUCCUGCCAGUAGUCUAUAUGCUUGUCUCAAAGAUUUAAGCCAUGCAUGCCUAAGUACAGCUCCCCUCGCGGGGGCGAAACCACAGACGGCUCAUUAAAUCAGAUGUGACUGGCUGGCCGACGCGCCUCUCCUGUCCCGUGCUUCCGUCCUCGCGGCGGUCGUCACGGCAAGGGGGAAACGGCGUCCGGCGGGGCUCGUCCCCGCCGGCGCCGGCGUCUUUACUUGGAUAUCUGUGGCAAUUCCAGAGCUAAUACAUGCCUUUAGAGUCUUCGCGCCACGGCAGCGGGCGGCCCCAGCCCUAACCGGCUGGGUGUUUCCGCGUCCGGCCGGGUGCGGAGCGCUUUUAUUAGAGCCUAAAACCUUCGGAGUUUACAGGGGGUCCGCCCCCUGGCUCCCCUACAUUUUGGUGUUUGGCGAAUCGGAAUAAAGCCCAUGUCCUCCGCCGAGCGACGCUCGCGCGCGGCCUUCACCGGCCCCGCGCGGCGACGCCGCGGCCCAGCAGGCUUCUGCCCUAUCAUGCUGUGGAUUGUAAGUUAAGCGCUUACAAUGGCUGUUACGGGUAACGGGGAAUCAGGGUUCGAUUCCGGAGAGGGAGCCUGAGAAACGGCUACCACAUCUAAGGAAGGCAGCAGGCGCGCAAAUUACCCACUCCCGGCUCGGGGAGGUAGUGACGAAAAAUACCGUUGCGAGCCCCUCUCGGGGUUUCGCCAUCGGAAUGGGCCCAAUCCUUAAAACCGUGGGCGAGGACCCAGUGGAGGGCAAGUCUGGUGCCAGCAGCCGCGGUAAUUCCAGCUCCACUGGCGUAUACUAAAGCUGUUGCGGUUAAAAAGCUCAUAGUUGGACUUCUGCCCGCGACCGGUGGCGUCUCCGGUAGCCGCGCUCCAAACCUUCGGACCCUCCUCUAUCCCGCUGCCCGUUAGCGCGCCCGGCCUCGCGUCGCGGCGUCGCGCGGUCUCCAGCGGGGAGGAGCGGUACCUGGCCCGAGCGUCGGAGGCACCAAACCAAUGCCGGAUCCGCGCGGCUGUCAGAGAGCCGGCCUCCGCCAGCGAGUUUGAGCAAGGGGUCAGCUGGCGGGCGCUGCAGCGGGUCCGUCCUCGCACGGUCGCGUGCUCCUUCGGCUCUUGCAGCCGUCGUGACCGCGCCGUCGGGGCCACGCCGCGAAAGCAGGCCGGAACGUUUACUGUGAAUAACUCAGAGUGCUCAAAGCAGGCCUCGCGGAUGGGCAUAGCGUCCCCCGCGCCAAAUGGCCUGUAUGCCCGCUCAUGGAAUGAUGGAAGACGACCUACGGUCCAGUCUUUUGUCGGUUUUUGUGGUACCGAGGUAAUGAUUAAUAGGGACUGACGGGGGCAGUCGUACUGCGACGCGAGAGGUGAAAUUCUGAGACCGUCGCAUGACGCCCAAAAGCGAAGGCAGCUGCCAAGGAAGUCUUCGUUAAUCAAGAACGAAAGUUAGAGGCUCGAAGGCGAUCAGAUACCGCCCUAGUUCUAACCCUAAACGAUGCAGACCAGCAAUCCGGCGGCGCCGUUGGCGGCCCGCCUGGCAGCUUUUAUCCCCGGGAAACCAGAGUGUGUGUGUUCCGGGGGGAAGUAUGGUUGCAAAGCUGAAACUUAAAGGAAUUGACGGAAGGGCACCACCAGGAGUGGAGCCUGCGGCUCAAUUUGACUCAACACGGGGAAACUCACCAGGCCCGGACACCGGAAGGAUUGACAGAACGAAGGCUCUUUCUUGAUUCGGUGGGUGGUGGUGCAUGGCCGUUCUUAGUUGGUGGAGUGAUCUGUCUGGUUAAUUCCGGUAACGAACGAGACUCCAGCCUACUAACUAGGCGACGGGCCUCGCCGUCCCUUCCCUCUCGGCCUUCACCGGCCGUUUGGGGGGUGGCGGUAGUGAGCCGCGGUCGUCGGUGCCCCCUCGCGUUCACUCGUUGGGCGCGGGCCGGCGGCCUCUCGCCCCAAGGGGUGUGGGGGUCGUCGGGUCGGAGGAACGGCCGUCUCUUGCGAGGCGUGCUCUCCGUGGGGCGUUGAAAAGCCGAGAUCGGCGUCCGUCAAUCAAAGCAUUUCUUCUUAGAGGGAUAAGCGGCAGCUUGAAGCAGUUAGCCGCGCGAGAACUCGAGCCAUAACAGGUCUGUGAUGCCCUUAGAUGUCCUGGGCCGCACGCGCGCUACAAUGGAGGGCUCAGCGAGCAGCGCCCCCCUCCGAAAGGAGCGGGGAACCUCCGCAAAGCCGACCAGCGCGCCUCGCGGCGCCGUACUUCCCUAAAGGGGAUCGGGGCUUGCAAAUGUUUCCCGUGAACGAGGAAUUCCCAGUAGGCGCAAUUCAUCAGAUUGCACCGACUGAGUCCCUGCCCUUUGUACACACCGCCCGUCGCUACUACCGAUUGGGUGACCUGGCGAGGACCCCGGACUGGACUAUCGGCCCUCUGCGGUCGAGACGUCCGGAAAGGCGCCCGAGCUGGGUCAUUUAGAGGAAGUAAAAGUCGUAACAAGGUUUCCGUAGGUGAACCUGCGGAA